CGAGUGGCCGUCUAACUGAUGAAGGCUGCUGUGAGCGGAGAGUGGGUGGUCCAGACGUGGCAUGCUGCCAUGGUAACUGCGCUCCUCUGUACCACGGUGAACCAAAGUAUCACUCCUGAGAGAAAGGGAACAGAUGUCAGAGAAACAGGCCCAUUUCCUAUAACUCACACUGUUUCACAUACAAGGAGUUGCUGCUUUACCUGUCGUCACGAGUGCGGCGCAGGCUGCCGUGGUAGCUGGCCUUGCUGUGGACGCUGCCGGCUUUACUCUUGGUGGAGGCAGUGUGGCCGUGGUGCGUUCUGAUCGGCUUGUCAAGAUCAUCUAGGACAGCCAAGUUGGUGGAGGAGGCAUGGGUAGAUGUGCCCUACAAGAGGAUCAGAGUCAUACCUGAGUGGAUGUUCCUCUGGACUUCCUUAUGAUGGGGGUGUUCGGCUCACGCAGCAGAGACUGGGCAAAGUCUGGUUGUUCCUGCAGGACCUGGCGAGACUCAUUCACCCCACUGCUGUAGUGAGAAGAGGGUGAUGGAAGGGAUCUCCAUGCGUACACGGUUCAGAGCCACAAUGCCCACUAAGAGAAGAGAGACACCCACCUGAAGAGAGAGGAGGAAGAAUGAGAAGUCAGACUCAGAGAUGGAUACAGAAAAUCUAAAUAAAUUAUGAUUAUUUUUAAAGAGCUGGGUGACUGACACAUGCAGACCACAAGACCACCCACCAAUCCAUUUACUGGUAUAUAAUCCCAAAGCUCUUCCAGGCAACAAUUCACUCUUGUUUCAUUUCAUCCGCCCACCCAUUAAUCUGUUCAACCAUCCAUCCAUCCUACUCAUCAACUCUUUCAUCCAUCUACCAACUCAUUUAUCUCCUGACUUUACUCACCGCCACGUUGAGGCAGAGCGGUGCCAGAACAAACCACCUCAGGGCGUCAAUGUCAUAUAGCCCUAUGAAACAUACUCCACUGAUCCCAUCUCCUUCAAUUUUGUUCAGGGCCAACAGGGUGACAGUCAGGGCCCCUGGGAGCCCCCAGGCUACCGCAUGGAAGAGGAGGGCUUUCUUCUCAAUGGCCUCACUACCCCAUUUAGGCACAGCAGCCAAGAACCACGUGAUUGUAAGAAUGACCCACCACAUGCUGCCGGCCAUGGUGAAGAAAUACAGGACCAUGAAGAAUAGGGUGCAUACCUGAGAGAGAGAGAGAGUUUGGGUUAAUAACAUGGACAUGACAUUGUUGAAAUUAUUAGUUAAUAAAAUGUGAUGUUAAAGAGCCAA